rnacentral:pre_miRNA from 1 species
AGUGAAAUUGCUGGGUCAUAUGUUUAAGUAUAUGGGUAUGUUUCACUUUUUAAGAAAUUGCCAAGCUGUUUUCCAGAGUGGCUAUGCCAUUUUACAUUCUCAUCAGCAAU